rnacentral:rRNA from 1 species
GACGAACGCUGGCGGCGUGCUUAACACAUGCAAGUCGAACGCUGAAGCUCAGCUUUUGUUGGGUGGAUGAGUGGCGAACGGGUGAGUAACACGUGAGUAACCUGCCCCCUUCUUUGGGAUAACGCCCGGAAACGGGUGCUAAUACUGGAUAUUCACUGGUCUUCGCAUGGGGGUUGGUGGAAAGGGUUUUUCUGGUGGGGGAUGGGCUCGCGGCCUAUCAGCUUGUUGGUGGGGUGAUGGCCUACCAAGGCUUUGACGGGUAGCCGGCCUGAGAGGGUGACCGGGCUCAUUGGGGCCUAGAUUCGGGCCAAGCUUCUACCGGGAGCAACAAGGGGGGAAAUUGGCCAAAUGGGGGAAGCCUGAUGCAGCGACGCCGCGUGAGGGAUGGAGGCCUUCGGGUUGUGAACCUCUUUCGCUCAUGGUCAAGCCGCAACAAUGGUUGUGGUGAGGGUAGUGGGUAAAGAAGCGCCGGCUAACUACGUG